CCUGUCCAAUGACCCAGAGUACUCUGACCGUGUGGAGUACCUGGGGAAUAAGAACAGUGACUGCACUUUCAGAAUAAACUAGCUGAGAGAAAGUGAUUCAGCAAUAUAUCGCUUCAAGUUCCUGACCGACCGUUAUGGUGGAAAAUAUACUGGUCAUUCUGGAGUCUCGUUGACAGUUACAGGUCUUCAGGUGAAAGUGACAGAGAAUGAGGCACAGAGUGUAACACUGACCUGUAGCAGCACCUGCACUUUGAGUGGCAGCCCAACCUUUACCUGGUACAA